GAUGAACGCUGGCGGCGUGCCUAACACAUGCAAGUCGAGCGAGAUGCUUCUGAUAGAUUCUUCGGAUGAUAGAUGAAGCGGAAAGCGGCGGACGGGUGAGUAACGCGUAGGCAACCUGCCCUUCACAGAGGGAUAGCCUCGGGAAACCGGGAUUAAAACCUCAUCAUGCCAUAGGAAGACAUCUUCUCUUGGCCAAAGAUUUAUCGGUGAAGGAUGGGCCUGCGUCUGAUUAGUUAGUUGGUGGGGUAACGGCCUACCAAGGCGACGAUCAGUAGCCGACCUGAGAGGGUGAUCGACCACAUUGGAACUGAGACACGGUCCAAACUCCUACGGGAGGCAGCAGUGGGGAAUAUUGCACAAUGGGGGAAACCCUGAUGCAGCAACGCCGCGUGAAGGAAGAAGGCCUUCGGGUCGUAAACUUCUGUCCUUGGGGAAGAAACAAAUGACGGUACCCUUGGAGGAAGCCCCGGCUAACUACGUGCCAGCAGCCGCCGUAAGAC
rnacentral:rRNA from 1 species